rnacentral:siRNA from 1 species
AGAUACAUCCGUACAGUGGUGUAC